rnacentral:rRNA from 1 species
UACGUAGGGUGCGAGCGUUGUCCGGAAUUACUGGGCGUAAAGAGCUCGUAGGUGGUUUGUCGCGUUGUUCGUGAAAACUCACAACUCAAUUGUGGGCGUGCGGGCGAUACGGGGCAGACUGGAGUACUGCAGGGGGAGACUGGAAUUCCUGGUGUAGCGGUGGAAUGCGCAGAUAUCAGGAGGAACACCCGUGGCGAAAGCGGCUCUCUGGGACGGUACUGACGCUGAGACGCGAAAGCGUGGGGAGCAAACAGG